rnacentral:rRNA from 1 species
UACGGCGGGUGCGAGCGUUGUCCGGAAUCAUUGGGCGUAAAGGGCGCGUAGGUGGCUUCUUAAGCGUGCGGUGAAAGCCUGGGGCUCAACCCCGGGUCGGCCGUGCGAACUGGGGGGCUGGAGCACUGUAGAGGCAGGCGGAAUUCCGGGUGUAGCGGUGGAAUGCGUAGAGAUCCGGAAGAACACCGGUGGCGAAGGCGGCCUGCUGGGCAGUUGCUGACACUGAGGCGCGACAGCGUGGGGAGCAAACAGG